UGGGGAAUUUUGCACAAUGGGGGAAACCCUGAUGCAGCGACGCCGCGUGAUUUAGAAGGCCUUCGGGUUGUAAAAAUCUUUUCUAUGGGAAGAAAAUGACAGUACCAUAGGAAUAAGGACCGGCUAAUUACGUGCCAGCAGCCGCGGUAAUACGUAAGGUCCGAGCGUUGUCCGGAAUCAUUGGGCGUAAAGGGUACGUAGGCGGGUAAGCAAGUUAGAAGUGAAAUCCUAUAGCUCAACUAUAGUAAGCUUUUAAAACUGCUCAUCUUGAGGUAUGGAAGGGAAAGUGGAAUUCCUAGUGUAGCGGUGAAAUACGCAGAUAUUAGGAGGAAUACCGGUGGCGAAGGCGACUUUCUGGCCAUAACCUGACGCUGAGGUACGAAAGAGUGGGUAGCAAACAGG
rnacentral:rRNA from 1 species